rnacentral:misc_RNA from 1 species
AAUGAUCAAAAUUCAAAUUUGGGAAUAUAAAAACGGGAAUCUCUAUUUUUAUGAAAGCAAACAGUAGACUUGAUCAUAGAGGACUACUUAUUGAACAUUAUGAUUUCAAAUCUUUCUGAAAGUACUAUCCUUCGUACAUUGAUUUCAACACCAACAAAGCACAAGAUACCAAGAAGUGAAAACAGUAAUUUGAAGAAGCUUUUGAAGAUCACUAGUUGCUAUGUCAUCAAUCUCUGAAAAUGGAAGAUGGCAAAGGCAAGAACAAGGAGAGACCACAUUGCACCUAUGUUAAGAAGAAAUCUUAAGAUUAACUCUGUAAAUUGGGCCACUGGAUACAGA